ACAGUGGCUGGUUUGAGAACAACGGAUGUGAGGGUGGCAUGCUCGGCACUG
rnacentral:ribozyme from 1 species